AGUGAACGCUGGCGGUAGGCCUAACACAUGCGAGUCGAACGGCAGCACAGUAAGAGCUUGCUCUUACGGGUGGCGAGUGGCGGACAGGUGAGGAAUACAUCGGAAUCUACUUUUUCGUGGGGGAUAACGUAGGGAAACUUACGCUAAUACCGCAUACGACCUACGGGUGAAAGCAGGGGAUCUUCGGACCUUGCGCGAUUGAAUGAGCCGAUGUCGGAUUAGCUAGUUGGCGGGGUAAAGGCCCACCAAGGCGACGAUCCGUAGCUGGUCUGAGAGGAUGAUCAGCCACACUGGAACUGAGACACGGUCCAGACUCCUACGGGAGGCAGCAGUGGGGAAUAUUGGACAAUGGGCGCAAGCCUGAUCCAGCCAUACCGCGUGGGUGAAGAAGGCCUUCGGGUUGUAAAGCCCUUUUGUUGGGAAAGAAAAGCAGCAGGUUAAUACCCCGCUGUUCUGACGGUACCCAAAGAAUAAGCACCGGCUAACUUCGUG
rnacentral:rRNA from 1 species